GAUGAACGCUGGCGGCGUGCCUAAUACAUGCAAGUCGAGCGGUAACACUUCGGGUGACGAGCGGCGGACGGCUGAGUAACACGUAGGAACGUACCCCAAAGUGAGGGAUAAGCACCGGAAACGGUGUCUAAUACCGCAUGUGCUCUUCGGAGUAAAGCUUCGGCGCUUUGGGAACGGCCUGCGCAUGAUUAGCUUGUUGGUGAGGUAAAAGCUCACCAAGGCGACGAUCAUUAGCUGGUCUGAGAGGAUGAUCAGCCAGACUGGGACUGAGAACGGCCCAGACUCCUACGGGAGGCAGCAGUAGGGAAUUUUCCACAAUGGGGGCAACCCUGAUGGAGCAACGCCGCGUGCAGGAUGAAGGCUUUCGGGUCGUAAACUGCUUUUAUCUGUGACGAAUAUGACGGUAGCAGAUGAAUAAGGAUCGGCUAACUCCGUGCCAGCAGCCGCAGUAAUA
rnacentral:rRNA from 1 species